ACGAGCUUACUUUAAGUUAUGUCAGUUUACUAUUAUUAGCUAGGUGAAGUAUUCACCGGAACCUCUGACGAUAUAAGUUGCCUGUAAUGUGGGGGUUAUACAUUCCUAACUUUAACUUUUGUAUCUAUGUACGCAUGGUGCUCCUUUUAAACUAUUAAUGCUCCCAUUGUCUAAUCUAUAUCUAUUAGAAUCCAUAAUUAUUCCAACUUAACUAGUGUUUUUCUGAGAGUUGUGAUGAAAUCCUGUUGAUGUCAUGAGCAAUGAAGAAGACUGAUCUGCUUUGAUUAGGAAAGAGCAAAGACUUUUCUAGUCUUGUUCAAGGAAGGUAUGCAAUAAAGAAACACGUCAGCUACCUAGAGUUCCUGCUUAGCGGUGUCCUGCUCUUGCUUGUAGCAAUUGCCCAUGCUUAGGGGUUUUCCUCCUCGUGGUUGUAAUUAGUUAAGAUUGGGGAUAGGUUUGAUAGUCGAGUUGAACGGCUUCUAUAUCCCGACUUGCCUGAUUGUUGCAUGCAUUACUCAUGGAUUCAGUCAAGUGCUUGUUAUCGAUAAAGUGCAAUAUUUAUAGGGUGUACAUCUGCCGGACAGGCCAGCCCAAGCCCGAUUAUACCACGGGUCGGGCCGGACGGCUUGCCAAUCUAAGAGCACUUCAUAUGGAUCCAACAGGCUUUAAGUUUGUUGAUUUUGCUAUCACUAUGGACUCAACAAACAUGAAAAAUGGAUGUUCAAAUCAACAAACAUGAAAAAUGGAUGUUCAAAUCAACAAAUUUGUUUAGUAUAAAGAACGUCAAGUUGUAGAUAGUUCAAAUCAAACUUUAAAUUCAAUAGAAAUUCAUGAUCCACUACAAAACUUUAUUCUUUACUUGAAAUUGUAAAUGGAUGAUCACCAGCUUGGUUCCUUUUCAAA